UCGGGUUGUAAAGCACUUUUGUCCGGAAAGAAAACUUCUGCCCUAAUACGGCGGGAGGAUGACGGUACCGGAAGAAUAAGCACCGGCUAACUACGUGCCAGCAGCGCGGUAAUCGUAGGGUGCGAGCGUCAAUCGGAAUUACUGGGCGUAAAGCGUGCGCAGGCGGUUCGUUAAGACAGAUGUGAAAUCCCCGGGCUUAACCUGGGAACUGCAUUUGUGACUGGCGAGCUAGAGUAUGGCAGAGGGGGGUAGAAUUCCACGUGUAGCAGUGAAAUGCGUAGAGAUGUGGAGGAAUACCGAUGGCGAAGGCAGCCCCCUGGGCCAAUACUGACGCUCAUGCACGAAAGCGUGGGGAGCAAACAGGAUUAGAUACCCUGGUAGUCCACGCCCUAAACGAUGUCAACUAGUUGUUGGGUCUUCAUUGACUUAGUAACGUAGCUAACGCGUGAAGUUGACCGCCUGGGGAGUACGGUCGCAAGAUUAAAACUCAAAGGAAUUGACGGGGACCCGCACAAGCGGUGGAUGAUGUGGAUUAAUUCGAUGCAACGCGAAAAACCUUACCUACCCUUGACAUGGUCGGAACCCUGCUG
rnacentral:rRNA from 1 species